GAGACCCACGCCAACAGUUGCCAGCAUGUCCUCCGGGAUGGUGGGGACACUGUUGGGACCGCCUCUGCUAAAGAGGAGGAAGGAAUGGGCAACGGUAGGUCAGCAUGCCCCGAAUUAUCUGGGCUACACGCGGGCUACAAUGGUCAGGACAAUGGGUAUCGGCACCGAGAGGUGAAGGCAAUCUCUUAAACCUGUCCUUAGUUCGGAUUGUGGGCUGCAACUCGCCCACAUGAAGCUGGAAUCCGUAGUAAUCGCGUCUCAAAAUGGCGCGGUGAAUAU
rnacentral:rRNA from 1 species